ACCUUGAACUCCCAUCAAUUGGCCCCCUCCAGUUUAUUAAUUAGAAGCAGUUGCUCUGCAUAAUACAUGGGAGAUUUUAAAAGCAUAAAAGAUCCAGCACUAGCAGUUAGCGAAGAGUCAAGUACCCGGAAGAAAAGGCACCGUGUCGUUUGGACAACAGAGCUCCACCAGAAGUUUCUCAAUGCCAUUGAGCAAUUAGGCGGAACCACAAGGCUAUUCCCAAGCGAAUACUUGCUCUCAUGAAUGUAGAUGGUCUCACUAGGGAGAACGUAGCCAGCCAUUUGCACAAGUACAGACUAAUACACAACUUGAAAAGGGAAACCAAUAAGCUGAACAUGGGUCAACUUGAUGGACUUAUAAAUAUCAAUGCCACAAGCUCUGCACUCUUAUCGAUAAAUCUUGAAAAGAUGAACCUCUCCAGCUUCAUCCAACAGGGUCAUCACCAGAACUCAAGCAACUCAGCAAAUCCAUCUGGAGCAUAUCACAGUACUACUCAGUCACCACCAAGAGUCCAAAACGUGAAUCAGUAUCAACCAAGUUCAUCUCCACUAAAGCCCUUAUUGUUUCCUAUGAUCAAUUUCUCUGCAAACAUGGGAGAUUCUAAAGGCAUUAAGGAACCAGCAAUAGUAUGUAAGUUUCCAAACAUACCAAAAGAGAACAAGACGGGUCCGUCCGUCUACCGGAAGCUGCAUGAUUCAGAUUAAGACAGAGCCUUAAACUAAGGCAAAUCUGCUCGGAGACACAGGUUCUUCUUCCCACUGCUGAUGGCUGCCGCAAUCUUACCCUCUCUUUAUUUAUGGUUUUUUUAGCCAAUGUGUAACUCAGUAACUCUCUCUGUGAUUCUUUC